UGGGGAAUUUUGGACAAUGGGCGAAAGCCUGAUCCAGCAAUGCCGCGUGUGUGAAGAAGGCCUUCGGGUUGUAAAGCACUUUUGUCCGGAAAGAAAUCCUUGGCUCUAAUACAGUCGGGGGAUGACGGUACCGGAAGAAUAAGCACCGGCUAACUACGUGCCAGCAGCCGCGGUAAUACGUAGGGUGCAAGCGUUAAUCGGAAUUACUGGGCGUAAAGCGUGCGCAGGCGGUUUGCUAAGACCGAUGUGAAAUCCCCGGGCUCAACCUGGGAACUGCAUUGGUGACUGGCAGGCUAGAGUAUGGCAGAGGGGGGUAGAAUUCCACGUGUAGCAGUGAAAUGCGUAGAGAUGUGGAGGAAUACCGAUGGCGAAGGCAGCCCCCUGGGCCAAUACUGACGCUCAUGCACGAAAGCGUGGGGAGCAAACAGGAUUCAGAUACCCUGGUAGUCCACGCCCUAAACGAUGUCAACUAGUUGUUGGGGAUUCAUUUCCUUAGUAACGUAGCUAACGCGUGAAGUUGACCGCCUGGGGAGUACGGUCGCAAGAUUAAAACUCAAAGGAAUUGACGGGGUCAUAGCUGUUUCCU
rnacentral:rRNA from 1 species